CUAAGGAAGACAGUCUGAGUGAAGACAUCCAGGAGAAGUUUGAAGAGCUGACAGUGGAAAAUAACAUUCCAAAGAAAAACAUGAGACAUGUUAUUGAAACAGAUAACUGUCCUGAUGCCUAAGGACCUUGCUUGAUGAACAGACCCUUGAGAUCCUAAAUAAGAUCAGGAAUGUUUGCACAUCAUCUUCUAAAGGACAUCAGAAUUGUCUGCAUGGUGCCAAAAACUCUCUGUUUAAAAUUAUGAUUUCAUCAUUUCUGGGAAGGAGAAAACUGUGUCUUAGAGAUUUGUUGACUGUACUCUUCAGUGUCUUUCCUGCUA